UACGUAGGGAGCAAGCGUUGUCCGGAAUCAUUGGGCGUAAAGCGCGCGUAGGCGGCCUCAUAAGUCCGUUGUGAAAGUCAAAGGCUCAACCUUUGAAAGCCGAUGGAUACUGUGAGGCUAGAGUCCGGAAGAGGCGAGUGGAAUUCCUGGUGUAGCGGUGGAAUGCGCAGAUAUCAGGGGGAACACCAAUAGCGAAGGCAGCUCGCUGGGACGGUACUGACGCUAAGGCGCGAAAGCGUGGGGAGCGAACAGG
rnacentral:rRNA from 1 species